rnacentral:rRNA from 1 species
CUGUGUCCUUCGACGCCGGUUCACCGCCUGUCGGUGCCAACUGGCGUUUUGCGGGACGUCCUGUCGGUGGUGUGCCAGGAAUCUUAGUUGUGCUAUGCUUUGCUUAGUGCAGCUCUGGUUUCGGGCCACUUUCAUAAUCCCGCCGCGGUGCUCUUAAUCGUGUGUCGAGGCGGGCCGGCACGUUUACUUUGAACAAAUUAGAGUGCUUCAAGCAGGCUUGUCACGCCUGUAUACUGUGUGCAUGGAAUAAUGGAAUAGGACCUCGGUUCUAUUUUGUUGGUUUCCGGAAUCUGAGGUAAUGAUCAAUGGGGACAGGCGGGGGCAUUCGUAUUGCGACGUUAGAGGUGAAAUUCUUGGAUCGUCGCAAGACGGACCGAAGCGAAAGCAUUUGCCAAGUAUGUUCCCGUCGAUCAAGAACGAAAGUUAGAGGUUCGAAGGCGAUCAGAUACCGCCCUAGUUCUAACCAUAAACAAUGCCUGCCAGCGAUCCGCCGGCGUCCCUCCGAUGACCCGGCGGGCAGCUUCCGGGAAACCAGAGCUUUUGGGUUCCGGGGGAAGUAUGGUUGCAAAGCUGAAACUUAAAGGAUUGACGGAAGGGCACCACCAGGAGUGGAGCCUGCGGCUUAAUUUGACUCAACACGGGAAAACUCACCAGGCCCGGACACCGGAAGGAUUGACAGAUUGAUAGCUCUUUCUUGAUUCGGUGGGUGGUGGUGCAUGGCCGUUCUUAGUUGGUGGAGCGAUUUGUCUGGUUAAUUCCGAUAACGAACGAGACUCUAGCCUACUAACUAGACGUAUCUGGUAUCAGCAAUCGUGCUACCAGCGAUCAUAUCUCUUCUUAGAGGGACAGGCGGCUUCUAGCCGCACGAGACUGAGCAAUAACAGGUCUGUGAUGCCCUUAGAUGUCCUGGGCCGCACGCGCGCUACACUGAAGGAAUCAGCGUGUCUUCCCUGUCCGAAAGGACCGGGUAACCCGCUGAACCUCCUUCGUGCUUGGGAUUGGGGCUUGCAAUUGUUCCCCAUGAACGAGGAAUUCCCAGUAAGCGCGAGUCAUAAGCUCGCGUUGAUUACGUCCCUGCCCUUUGUACACACCGCCCGUCGCUACUACCGAUUGAAUGAUUUAGUGAGGUCUUCGGACCGGUGCGCGGAGGCGGUUUUCCGCUCCCGAUGUUGUCGGAAAGAUGACCAAACUUGAUCAUU